GACGAACGCUGGCGGCGUGCUUAACACAUGCAAGUCGAGCGAGGCCCCUCCUUCGGGAGGGUGUCCUAGCGGCGAACGGGUGAGUAACACGUGGGCAACCUGCCCUCAGCUCUGGGAUAACUCCGGGAAACCGGGGCUAAUACCGGAUACGACCUCCACGGGCAUCUGCGGAGGUCGAAAGUUUUUCGGCUGAGGAUGGGCCCGCGGCCUAUCAGCUAGUUGGUGGGGUAGUGGCCCACCAAGGCGACGACGGGUAGCCGGCCUGAGAGGGCGACCGGCCACACUGGGACUGAGACACGGCCCAGACUCCUACGGGAGGCAGCAGUGGGGAAUAUUGCGCAAUGGGCGAAAGCCUGACGCAGCGACGCCGCGUGAGGGACGAAGGCCUUCGGGUUGUAAACCUCUUUCAGCAGGGACGAAGCGAAAGUGACGGUACCUGCAGAAGAAGCACCGGCCAACUACGUG
rnacentral:rRNA from 1 species